CAGUAGCCGCGGUAAUACGAAGGGUGCAAGCGUUACUCGGAAUUACUGGGCGUAAAGCGUGCGUAGGUGGUGGUUUAAGUCCGUUGUGAAAGCCCUGGGCUCAACCUGGGAAUUGCAGUGGAUACUGGGUCACUAAAGUGUGGUAGAGGAUAGUGGAAUUUCCGGUGUAGCAGUGAAAUGCGUAGAGAUCGGAAGGAACAUCUGUGGCGAAGGCGACUAUCUGGGCCAACACUGACACUGAGGCACGAAAGCGUGGGGAGCAAACAGGAUUAGAUACCCCCGUAGUCCCUGUCUCUUAUAC
rnacentral:rRNA from 1 species